rnacentral:rRNA from 2 species
GACGAACGCUGGCGGCGUGCUUAACACAUGCAAGUCGAACGAGAAUACUUAGACAGAAGCCUUCGGGUGGAAGACUUUGUAAUCGAGUGGCGGACGGGUGAGUAACGCGUGAGUAACCUGCCUUAAAGAGGGGAAUAACAACGAGAAAUCGUUGCUAAUACCGCAUAAGACUACAGGAUCGCAUGAUCCAGGAGUCAAAGAUUUAUCGCUUUAAGAUGGACUCGCGUCCCAUUAGCUAGUUGGUAGGGUAAUGGCCUACCAAGGCGACGAUGGGUAGCCGGACUGAGAGGUCGAUCGGCCACACUGGGACUGAGACACGGCCCAGACUCCUACGGGAGGCAGCAGUGGGGAAUAUUGCACAAUGGGGAAACCCUGAUGCAGCGACGCCGCGUGAACGAAGACGGUCCUCUGGAUUGUAAAGUUCUGUCAACGGGGCGAUAAUGACGGUACCCGUGGAAGGAGCCACGGCUAACUACGUGCCAGCCGCCGCGGUAAC